GAUGAACGCUAGCUACAGGCUUAACACAUGCAAGUCGAGGGGAAACGGCAUCGAAAGCUUGCUUUUGAUGGGCGUCGACCGGCGCACGGGUGAGUAACGCGUAUCCAACCUGCCCAUCACUUGGGAAUAACCUUGCGAAAGUAAGACUAAUGCCCAAUGACAUCACACGAAGGCAUCCGAAUGGGAUUAAAGAUUUAUCGGUGAUGGAUGGGGAUGCGUCUGAUUAGCUUGUUGGCGGGGUGACGGCCCACCAAGGCAACGAUCAGUAGGGGUUCUGAGAGGAAGGUCCCCCAGAUUGGAACUGAGACACGGUCCAAACGCCUACGGGAGGCAGCAGUGAGGAAUAUUGGUCAAUGGGCGAGAGCCUGAACCAGCCAAGUAGCGUGCAGGAUGACGGCCCUAUGGGUUGUAAACUGCUUUUAUAAGGGAAUAAAGUGGGUCACGUGUGACUUUUUGCAUGUACCUUAUGAAUAAGGACCGGCUAAUUCCGUG
rnacentral:rRNA from 1 species